rnacentral:rRNA from 1 species
UACAGAGGGGGCAAGCGUUGUUCGGAAUUACUGGGCGUAAAGGGCGCGUAGGCGGCCUGCUAAGUCGAACGUGAAAUCCCUGGGCUCAACCCAGGAACUGCGUCCGAUACUGGUUGGCUUGAAUCCGGGAGAGGGAUGCGGAAUUCCAGGUGUAGCGGUGAAAUGCGUAGAUAUCGGGAGGAACACCUGUGGCGAAGGCGACCCCCUGGUUGGAUACUGACGCUGAGACGCGAAAGCGUGGGGAGCAAACAGG